AGAGUCACGGGUGGAUCGUGUUGCUGUUUCAUUUUAAUAUGUGUUUAAACUAAUGUAAGCCGUUUGAGCGGUGCCUACUUGGAAACAGCAUAUUAUCAACAUUGUAGAAGAAAGCCUGUGGAAAUGAUAAGUACACAGCCAGAGAGUAAUCCAAAGCAUGAGUUCUGAGCUCCGGUGGGGGUUCCAUCACCUUGGGAUGGAGUAAGCUGACCAAGACUUGGGAAAGGUGGUUUGUACGACGACGGUGUUCCUGAGAGAACACCGAACAGGCAUUGCCCAGGAAGAGAAACACUUAUUUGGCGAGCAGUCUUCAAAGUCAAGUUGGAAGCCCUGUGAAGAGGAGAGGCCUACGGACAACAGCACAGGAGAUGCUGUGUAUUGGGAAGGAUCCAAGGUCCCCCAGCGGGACCAGGUAGAGGGUCUGCUACAGAGACUAUGUAAGGGACAAUUCUCGGGCUGGAGAGAUGGCUCAGUGGUUAAGAGCACUGACUGUUCUCCCAGAGGUCCUGAGUUCAAUUCCCAGCAACCACAUGGUAACUUACAAUCAUCUGUAAUGGGACCUGAUGCCCUCUUCUGGUGUGUCUGAAGACAGCUACAGUGUACUUGUAAUCAAUCAAUCAAUCAGAGAGAGAGAGAGAGAGAGAGAGAGAGAGAGAAAGAGAGAGAGAGUUUGUUCUCCAGUUUGAAGGAAAGUCAAGAAGUCUGCUGAUUUGGUUCCCACGGGUCUUUCCUGACUUCCCAGAAUCUCCUCACCAUGCCUUCACACCACAGAGAGAACCCUGGUUCCCUCGUCCUCUUACAGAAACAGUUCCACCCUGAGGACCCCACCCUCCAACCUUACGUAAGCUUCAGCAGGAACCUGACUUGCUCAUACCUUUGGGUCUCAGGACUGUGAUGAAUUUCUGUUGAGCCACCUGCCCUGAUAUGUUGUGAGAGGAGCCGCAGCAGACGGUUGCUACCACUAUUGUGAUGUAUUAAUUAGACUCCAUUAGCCUUCUGUGUUAUGUCUGUGUUCUCCUGUGUAAAACGGGGCGGUCCUAAAGAGGCCUCAGCUGAUCAAAAGAGGGGCUUGGGCUUGAACGUGGAGAUUGAUGCCUAUGUGGCUGGAUGCUAUGGAUGGGAAUAGAUUGCACCUAACAGAUUUCAUCCAGCAGCAUGGAAGACCCAGGCCUCAGGAACAGGAUGGCAUCAAAGACAAACCCUUCCUUCCGUCUUGGACCUUGCAGACUCCAGAACUGUACUAAAUAUAUUUGUGUUCAUUGCCAAUCA